rnacentral:rRNA from 1 species
AGUGAACGCUGGCGGUAGGCCUAACACAUGCAAGUCGAACGGCAGCACAGUAAGAGCUUGCCCUUACGGGUGGCGAGUGGCGGACGGGUGAGGAAUACAUCGGAAUCUACUUUUUCGUGGGGGAUAACGUAGGGAAACUUACGCUAAUACCGCAUACGACCUACGGGUGAAAGCAGGGGAUCUUCGGACCUUGCGCGAUUGAAUGAGCCGAUGUCGGAUUAGCUAGUUGGCGGGGUAAAGGCCCACCAAGGCGACGAUCCGUAGCUGGUCUGAGAGGAUGAUCAGCCACACUGGAACUGAGACACGGUCCAGACUCCUACGGGAGGCAGCAGUGGGGAAUAUUGGACAAUGGGCGCAAGCCUGAUCCAGCCAUACCGCGUGGGUGAAGAAGGGCUUCGGGUUGUAAAGCCCUUUUGUUGGGAAAGAAAAGCAGCAGGUUAAUACCCCGCUGUUCUGACGGUACCCAGAGAAUAAGCACCGGCUAACUUCGUG